UUUUUUGUAAAUCAUUCUAAAAUUUCAAUACUUAAUUGAGGAAAUCUCAGAGUGCAGAACAUGGUCAAGGCACUGUGGAAUCACUGGUGAUGAAGCCCAGUAUUGUUCCGCUGGUCAUGGUCAUGGAUUUAGAGCAGUGCUUCCCAAAUCCUUUUGUUCAUUAUACUAAGCACAAGAUGCUCUACAGGUUCCCUUCAAAAAAGGCUUCAGGGCAAGUUUGAAAACUGUUACCUCCUCUUCUUGAAUCAUCUCAGGGCACACUAGCACAUUAAAAGGUUCUGAUAAUCCUUGAAGCAUAGGAGCUUGCUUGUUUCGUCUACUUUCCCAACAUUGUUUGGCCAUGAAACUCUUGGGGACUUCGUAUUAUAUUUGGAUACAAUAAAUCUUAGACCAUAGUUUGGGAAUUUUGGCUCUAUAAAGCUUAAUGGUAUUUUAGCACAUCAUAACAGGGCAGGACUCAAAAUAAUUAAACAUUUCUUGUUUCAUUUUUUUACAGUGGUUUCUUGACAGAGCACAAUCUAUGUACAUUUUAGUGAAUUAUAUCUUUACCACUUUGUUAGCAAUAUCAAAGAAUAUUACAAAAGCUUUACUAUCAAAGGUGGUUAUGGUAUAAUUACGUUCCUCCAAUAAGAAACCAUGACAGAUUACAAGGCAAUAUGCAUGACCUUUAUGCUUUUAUAAGGCAAACAGAAUUGGAAUAUUUAAUAAAAGUAGCCUAUAUCUAUUCAGCACUUUCUAUGUGCCCAAAACUCCUCUAAUUACUUUGUACAUAGUAUUUCAUUUGUCUCUAAAGGCAAAAUACAAAUUAGGUUCUAAUUUUCCCUCAUUUUACAAAUAAUGCAAUUCAGGAACUGAGAAGUUAAGUAACCUGUACAAAGUCACACAGCUAGCAAAUAACACAAAGGAGAAAGAUAAUGCAGGACUAGUUGGAACAUGAUUAUGGAUUUGAAUUUGCAAAUAUUUUAAUCCUAAAGAAAAUUUCCUAUUUUAGUUUAAGAAUUUUUUUUUUUUUUUUUUAAGAUUUUAUUUAUUUAUUCACAAGAGACACAGAGAGAGGCAGAGACACAGGCAGAGGGAGAAACAGGCUCCAUGCAGGGAGCCCGGCGGGACUUGAUCCUGGGACUCCAGGAUCACACCCUGCGCCAAAGGCAGGCUCUAAACCACUGAGCUACCCAGGGAUCCCUAGUUUAAGAAUUUUCUAUUCUUUCUGGAAGACAUCAUCUGAUUUUUAUCAUUGGUUUAUCAGAGUGAAACAUUUUUACUAUCACCUGAGAUAAUUUCUAACUAUGCUUUAUUGUGAUUUUUUAAUUUGUAUUUUUCAAUAAUAGACAGAUCACCAUCCUUUGUGCUUUUACACGUAUUCCCUUCAUUCACAUGCCCAGAUUCAUACCGAAUUGCAUAACUUAACAAGGCAAUGGAGAGGUGUUGUCAAUUCUAUAAUUACCUGUGUGGUUCAUGACCCACCAGUAAAGUACAAAAGUAUAAAUAUUUUCAGCUCAUGGAAAAUGCUUACAAGUUUUUAAAUAUAUGUUCCAAAGAAAAUCUGUCAUUGGCUUAUUUUGCUUCAAUAAGUGUAAUUUUCACAUACAAAACAAGGGCCCUAUUCUUUAGCACAUAGACACAAGAACCCGAUCCACUUAUCAUCUUUAUCAUUUAGCUUUAGAUCAAUUGAUUAUUGGCAGGCUAUGCCUAGUCUGGACAAUAUAAACAGAAAUAUUCAUCUCCAGAAGAAAUUCAGCACUCAGUCUCAUUUCAUGCACAAAGAGACCUUGCCCUUGUAUUUCACUGAGCUGAAAGCAGCUUUUAUUGAUUUCACGUUGGACUGAAUUUGUUAUAGUUUCUACAGCAGUGGCAGAAACACUGUUUGGAGAUACUAUGAAGUUAAAAGUAAAAACUUAGAUUUUAAAACAGAAAAGAUGAAUAGAUGAAAAUUGGGAAAUGUUAUAAAUUUCUGGAAAGUCUGAUAAUUGCAUUAAUUUCAACAACAAAAAAAUUAAGUUCGUUUCAAAUUGGGAAAGAGGAUUAAACAUAUAUUUCAUUAUCUAAUGAAUGUCUACUAAAUACAGAAAGAAAAUACGAUCUUCAUUCUUAAAGUCUAACUGAUCCAGAUUUUGAUAUGUUAAAAAUAUGUAUAUUGCAACUAAAAGUAAUACACUUGUGUAUGCAUUUACUGUGAUGUCCAAAUCAUUCAAAAUAACUACACUCCAAUGUAGUCCAAGUCACUAAAUAUUCCCAAGAGAAGGCAAACUAAUCUCUGGUAACUAGGAUUGUUUGUGUUGGGACUUUUUCAGACCUGUCUAGAAAUGUCU
rnacentral:lncRNA from 1 species